rnacentral:rRNA from 1 species
AUGGAAAGCAUUGAGGUUUUAGCACUGGUAGCCGCUGUGCUCUUCUGCCUAGCCGUCCUCCGGCGAAGCACCAGUCCUGCGGUCCAGCUGAUCAGGGACCCUGCCGUUGCCCACAGCCUCCUUAACGAGCACGCCGACGCUUUCAUGAACCGGCCGUCAGCUGGCCUUCUCACGGCUCUGGCGACCUGGACUCGUGGCCCUCAACGGAACGAGACCUUGGCGACCGUGACCUACGGCUCGCACUGGCGAUCACUCCGGUCCAACCUCACUGCGGGCUUCCUCAACCCCACGCACCUCGCCGCCGUUGCUCCGCUGCGGGCGGAUGCCAUCCAAGACCUUGUCACCGGCCUGUCACAGGCCGGCGGAGAGGAGGUGGUCAUGCGGGAACACCUCGACCGCGCCAUGUUUACGCUGGCCGCGCGGCUGUGCUUCGGCGGCGACCAUGGCCUGCAAGAGAGCGGCGUGCGCGCCAUGCAGCGCGCGAUGGACGACCUCUCGCAGGCCAUGGACGACACGGUCUCCUUCGACGGCUCGACACUGGGCAGGAUCACGCACUGGAGGAGGCUGCGCCGGCUCUUCGGCCUGUUCGCCCCGCUGUGCGAGGUGGUGCGCCCGCUCAUCGCAGCAGCACGGGCAAGGAAGAGCGGCGACUCAUACGUAGACUCGCUCGUGGAGCUCCGCGUGCCGAACCCCGACGUUGACGUCGUCGACGCCAAGCGUGCGCUCACCGACGACGAGAUCCUGGGCCUAGUGGCGGAGUUCCUGGCCACCAACACGGGGGUGAUCGUGGCGUGCAUCGAGUGGACACUCGCGAACCUCGUCAUCCAGCCGGAGGUGCAGAGGAAGCUGCGGUGCGAGAUCGACGAGGCGGUAGCAGCUGGUGGUGGUGAGGCCGAGCUCUCCGAGAAGGCCAUCCGCGACAUGCCGUACCUGCGCGCCGUCGUGCUCGAGAGCGUGCGCAUCCACCCACCUUCGCCUUUCGUCACGCGCGGCGUCCACGACGUCGCCACCGGCAGGCUGAGAAAGAGGCUCAUCUUCAUGGUGCGGGAAAUCGGGAGGCACGGGAGCGCGUGGACGGAGCCCGGCCAGUUCAAUCCGGAGCGGUUCCUGCCGGGCGGCGAGGCGGAGGACGUCGGCCACAUGCCGGGGCGGAACGAGAUCAGGAUGAUGCCGUUCGGAGGCGGGAGGAGGUUCUGCCCGGGCUCCAAUCUGGCGAUUCUGCAGGCCAAGUUCUUCCUGGUGGCGCUCCUGCGCAACUUUGAGCUGGCGCCGCCCAGCAGCGGCGUGGACCUGACGGAGGUGGGCGACUUCAACAACGUGAUGAAGAAGCCGCUGCGUGUGCGCGUCACUCCGCGCAAGUUGCCCUAG